GAGGUAUCACAGAAAUCGUUGACAUUGCAGAAUCGGAGGCCUUCUUAAAUACUGGGUUCUCCUUUCCUCCAUUUCAUUAUAUCAGCUGAUUUGAUAAUUUCAACUUACAUUCCCCACACAUAUGAUACAAACAGGGUAAUUAGGAUUCAAAUGUCCCAUUAAUUUGUGUACCCAAGAGCCUUUACACUUUUUCCUUUUUUCUACAAUUUUUCAUCUAAAGACAUGAUGCAUGUUUGGGAACUGCAUAAUUGAAAUACCAGUAAGUUGAAAACAGCUACACUUUUUAGCAAAGUCUAGGCCAGUAUUGAGCAGACUUGCAUUAUAUAUUUUCUUAAAGAUGAUAGGCUAUUUUUUUAGCAAAAAUAAUAUGGCUGAAUAAAUUAACCUUUGUACGUAUCUUCCCUAGAACUAAUGCAUUUUAAGCAUUGUUUACUCACAUCCUUGCUAAAACUAGCAUAAAUCAACUGAUGACAACAGAAAGAAAUUAACAAAGAUGUGUGUGAAAACGCACAACUUUGGAAUUAUGAUACUUGUUAUGGAAGACAUCCUCUUCCCAUACUUCCAAAUAAUGCAUUCUCAAGCGCAUAGCGCGUGCACAAGUAAAUCCAAACAGAAUCUAAAAUGUACUUACAAUUUCUGGUUUCUGCACAGGACUGUAGCAGCAGAAUAAACUGCGAAGAUAGAUCAACUUUUUUGUUAUUACGCAUCAGCUCAUUAUUUUUGUUAUUUUUUUCUUCAUUGGUAGUGUCCACAUUAGGUU
rnacentral:lncRNA from 1 species